AACCCGCCAUUGCCCAUAUGCAAGGCUGUAUUCGACAAUGACAUUAAAACAAGAACCAGUCAACUAAGAAAAAAAUAUAUUAAAAGAAAUUCCAAUAUACCUAAGAUUAAUCGAUCAUUGUAAAUGACCUUCAAUUUAGAAGAGAGAAUAUAAUACACAGAUGAUGGAAGAGAUAUCAGAGACAGCAAAAGCUUAUUAUGCAAAACUUAUCAGAAAAGCAGAAGCGAUAAGGCAAAAAAUUUUUCACGAAAUUGAUAAAGAUGGAGAUGGAAAAAUUACUUUCCGAUGAAAUAUAAGCAACGCAUUAAGCCAAAGAAAAGCUUUAAAGUUCCAAUUGCUUCUUCGGAUUCUUUAAGGAAGCUCGAUAAAGGACGAAUGGCACAUUGAAUUUCGAUAAUUUGACGUACACUACAUAUGCGCAACCGAGAGUUUUCCCUAUUGCGAUGAGUGUAGAGUCUUUUCUUGAUAGAGUCUUUUUUUACUUUGCGAUGAGUGUAGAGUCUUUCUUGAUAGAGUCUAUUUUACUUGUGUCCAGUGCUUCAAUGGCUCCGGUAAUACUUAUGAUCUCUGUGUUUCUUGCUAUCGCGAUAAGAAUAUCAUUAAUCAUCACAAGGAUGCUGUGUUUCUCGAUAAUUACACGAUGCUGCACGCCAAGAGGAAUCAGAAUAAUGCAUCAGCAAGUAAGAUAACUACGGAGGAUAAGCUAAGAGCAGCUAUAUUAGGGGUCUCGGUGGUGAAAUUAGGAAUAAAAACUAGUAUUGCUGCGAACACUGCAUCGAACUCUGCGGACCAUGGAAGUAAUUUUGCUGAUGUCGCAUCCAAUUUUUUGGAUUUUGCUGAUGUCGCAUCCAAUGUUUUGGAUUUUGCUGAUGUCGCAUCCAAUUUUUUGGACCAUGGAAGUGAUUAUGCUGAGUUUUUAGGUACUGCUGCUGAACUUGCAUCAAAUUGUUCUGUCAUGUAAAAUGUAUAUUUUGCAGCCUUCAACAAAAAAGAGAGCUGUAUAACUUCAGUGCUUGUCUAUACCUCUUGUUGUUUUAAUUUCAAUUUAUAACUAGAUAAAGGUCCGCGCAACGCGUGAAAUUGUUUUAUUGUUAUUUUUCACUACAAUCUUUUUGAUAAAUGAAAAUAAAUAAUUAUCGCUGCA